rfam:Ipomoea nil DNA, scaffold: scaffold2701, cultivar: Tokyo-kokei standard.
GGUUCCAUGGUGUAGUCGUUAGCACUCUGGACUUUGAAUCUAGUGACCUGGGUUCGACUCUCGGUGGGACCU